rnacentral:rRNA from 1 species
AGAGUUUGAUCCUGGCUCAGGAUGAACGCUGGCGGCAUGCCUAAUACAUGCAAGUCGAACGAGAUGAGAAGAAGCUUGCUUCUUUGAAUCUAGUGGCGAACGGGUGAGUAACACGUAGGUAACCUGCCCAUGUGCCCGGGAUAACUUCUGGAAACGGAUGCUAAAACCGGAUAGGUAGCAGACAAGCAUUUGACUGCUAUUAAAGUGGCCUUGGCCAUGAACAUGGAUGGACCUGCGGUGCAUUAGCUAGUUGGUGAGGUAACGGCCCACCAAGGCGACGAUGCAUAGCCGGCCUGAGAGGGCGGACGGCCACAUUGGGACUGAGACACGGCCCAAACUCCUACGGGAGGCAGCAGUAGGGAAUUUUCGUCAAUGGGGGGAACCCUGAACGAGCAAUGCCGCGUGAGUGAGGAAGGUCUUCGGAUCGUAAAGCUCUGUUGUAAGAGAAAAACGGCACUCAUAGGGAAUGAUGAGUGAGUGAUGGUAUCUUACCAGAAAGUCACGGCUAACUACGUGCCAGCAGCCGCGGUAAUACGUAGGUGGCGAGCGUUAUCCGGAAUGAUUGGGCGUAAAGGGUGCGUAGGUGGCAGAUCAAGUCUGGAGUAAAAGGUAUGGGCUCAACCCGUACUGGCUCUGGAAACUGAUCAGCUAGAGAACAGAAGAGGACGGUGGAACUCCAUGUGUAGCGGUAAAAUGCGUAGAUAUAUGGAAGAACACCGGUGGCGAAGGCGGCCGUCUGGUCUGGAUUCUGACACUGAAGCACGAAAGCGUGGGGAGCAAAUAGGAUUAGAUACCCUAGUAGUCCACGCCGUAAACGAUGAGAACUAGGUGUUGGGGGAAUAACUCAGUGCCGCAGUUAACGCAGUAAGUUCUCCGCCUGGGGAGUAUGCACGCAAGUGUGAAACUCAAAGGAAUUGACGGGGGCCCGCACAAGCGGUGGAGUAUGUGGUUUAA